UACUCUCACACUCUCAAUCGGUUUGGGUUGAGAUCGGUGGACUUUGGGCAUUGCUGCUUGACCGCAGCUUGCCUUAAAUGUGUUAGUGCAACUCCAGGUUGGACAUCGUACGGCGUGAUAACUGUCUUCGCCGGCACCUCGCAAGAGGGUGACUGAUCGGGAGCUCUGUGCUUCAAAUCGUCUUCGGACAAUCUCUGACAAC
rnacentral:misc_RNA from 1 species